GGCCCAGUGGCGGAUGGUGCGCGCCUGCAUCUAAUGAUUCCUUGCGACGGAAUUCUGUAGGAAUUUGCUCGUUCGAAUCGAGUCUGGGCCA